rnacentral:rRNA from 1 species
AUUGAACGCUGGCGGCAUGCUUUACACAUGCAAGUCGAACGGCAGCGCGGGGCAACCUGGCGGCGAGUGGCGAACGGGUGAGUAAUAUAUCGGAACGUACCCAGAAGUGGGGGAUAGCGUAGCGAAAGUUACGCUAAUACCGCAUACGAUCUACGGAUGAAAGUGGGGGACCUUCGGGCCUCAUGCUUUUGGAGCGGCCGAUACCUGAUUAGCUAGUAGGUAGGGUAAAGGCCUACCUAGGCGACGAUCAGUAGCUGGUCUGAGAGGACGACCAGCCACACUGGAACUGAGACACGGUCCAGACUCCUACGGGAGGCAGCAGUGGGGAAUUUUGGACAAUGGGCGCAAGCCUGAUCCAGCAAUGCCGCGUGAGUGAAGAAGGCCUUCGGGUUGUAAAGCUCUUUUGUCAGGGAAGAAACGGUUGGGGCCAAUAUCCUCGGCUAAUGACGGUACCUGAAGAAUAAGCACCGGCUAACUACGUGCCAGCAGCCGCCGUAA